rnacentral:lncRNA from 1 species
GGAAAACCAGCCACCAUAUACAACGAUAAAAUUCAUGAAAGGAAAUAAGCUUUAUGAUGCUCAGGGGGCAAUCAGAAUUGUAGUGGGCAGAGAACAUAUGUUUUGGUUCAUUAGGCAUCUAGAAUGUAAUUUAAAAAGAUGUUGUAGGUUCUAACUUACCAAAGCAAUGGUUAAAGCAAACACCUGAUACUUUAGAUGUUGGCAGUUAGAGAUCCCUUUCUGCCCUACUAUGAGAUACCCAACGUCAGUGAAGUCCCUGGCCCCACAAUCCACUGGCAUGGAUCAUUAGGUCUGAAAGUAGAGCUCACAGGGUGCUGCACUUAGUUAACCCAUGUAUUUUGCUUUUGCAGCUACAAUUUUAUCAUUUCCUGUUUUCUCACUUCUGGGAAUCCCAGACAUCCUUCUAGAACUUCCUGUGCCAUCAAUACUGAACAUGUGACAUUCUAGGCAACUUCACUCCUGACAUCUUUUUAUGAGAACAAUGUUUUUGAAGAUUCUAAGCUCUGGAAGAAUAAGCGUGGAUUAUGACAAAAAUUUCUCAGGGUGCUGGCAGGUGGCCCAAUGCCACGCAUCUGGAAACCUACCCUGGACAUGUGGUGUUUCCUCCACUUACAGAGACCUGAGGAAGCUUAAAAGAGUCUUUUGAUAUACAAAGGCAGGCCCAAUACAAGUGCAAAAUGAAAAGCCCAAUUUCUCUGCAUAAUAAAGUAAAGAGAAUUGAUGGUCA